rnacentral:rRNA from 1 species
AUUGAACGCUGGCGGCAGGCCUAACACAUGCAAGUCGCACGAGUGGCGGACGGGUGAGUAAUGUCUGGGAAACUGCCCGAUGGCGGGGGAUACCUACUGGAAACGGUAGCUAAUACCGCAUACCAUCGGAUGUGCCCAUAUGGGAUUAGCUUGUUGGUGGGGUAACGGCUCACCAAGGCAACGAUCCAUAGCUGGUCUGGGAGGAGGACCAGCCACACUGGAACUGAGACACGGCCCAGAAUCCUAAGGUGGGCAGCAGUGGGGAAUAUUGCACAAUGGGGGAAAGCCUGAUGCAGCCAUGCCGCGGGAGUGAAGAAGGCCUUGGGUUUGUAAAGCACUUUCAGCGGGGAAGCGUUACCCGCAGAAGAAGCACCGGCUAACUCCGUGCCAGCAGCCGCGGUAAUAC